CCUACGGGUGGCAGCAGUGAGGAAUAUUGGUCAAUGGACGCGAGUCUGAACCAGCCAUGUCGCGUGCAGGAUGACUGCCCUAUGGGUUGUAAACUUCUUUUCUAUGAGGAUAAAAUGUUCCACGUGUGGGCUUUUGUAUGUACCAUAUGAAUAAGGAUCGGCUAACUCCGUGCCAGCAGCCGCGGUAAUACGGAGGAUCCGAGCGUUAUCCGGAUUUAUUGGGUUUAAAGGGAGCGUAGGUGGAUUGUUAAGUCAGUUGUGAAAGUUUGCGGCUCAACCGUAAAAUUGCAGUUGACACUGGCAGUCUGGAGUAUAGUAGAGGUGGGCGGAAUGCGUGGUGUAGCGGUGAAAUGCUUAGAUAUCACGAAGAACUCCGAUUGCGAAGGCAGCUUACCGGACUGCAACUGACACUGAGGCUCGAAAGUGUGGGUAUCAAACAGGAUUAGAUACCCGAGUAGUC
rnacentral:rRNA from 1 species